GCAGCAAUAGCUCAGUGGUAGAGCCCCGCUUCGCCUGCGGGGAGACCCGGGUUCGAUUCCAGGCUGCUUCC
rnacentral:tRNA from 1 species